rnacentral:lncRNA from 1 species
CUCCUGACCUCAUGAUCCGCCCUCCUCGGCCUCCCAAAGUGCUGGGAUUACAGGUGUGAGUCACCGCGCUCGGCCAGGGCAAAUCUCUUUAACUAUUAUAAUUUUCUCAGUUAUAAUCUUGCCAUGGUGGUUUCAAAAGGUGACUGGAAGAAAGCGGAAGGAAUGCUUGCCUCAUCUUGCAGACAUCAGGUGCAUUCCUGAGAAGCUACAGGUGCACAACCUUAGUCAGGCUCUGGGGAUACAGAAGUAACAAGAAGACCAGACCCUUGUUCCAAUGGAGGAGACAUCCUGAAGAUCUUGAUGACCCCCUAUGCAAUGUUCUCAACCUAAUUUCAACAACUGAUAUGGGUGCCAGUCUCC